AUACGGAGGAUCCGAGCGUUAUCCGGAUUUAUUGGGUUUAAAGGGAGCGUAGGCGGACGCUUAAGUCAGUUGUGAAAGUUUGCGGCUCAACCGUAAAAUUGCAGUUGAUACUGGGUGUCUUGAGUACAGUAGAGGCAGGCGGAAUUCGAGGUGUAGCGGUGAAAUGCUUAGAUAUCACGAAGAACUCCGAUUGCGAAGGCAGCCUGCUGGACUGUAACGGACGCUGAUGCUCGAAAGUGUGGGUAUCAAACAGGAUUAGAUGCCCUGGUAGUCCACACAGUAAACGAUGAAUGCUCGCUGUUUGCGAUAUACAGUAAGCGGCCAAGCGAAAGCGUUAAGUAGUCCGCCUGGGGAGUACGCCGGCAACGGUGAAACUCAAAGGAAUUGACGGGG
rnacentral:rRNA from 1 species